GCUCUAUUAACUCAGUUGGUUAGAGUGUCGUGCUUAUAGUGCAACACACACUAUGUUUGAGUCACGCGAAGGUCGCCAGUUCGAUCCUGGCAUAGAGCA